rnacentral:tRNA from 1 species
GGGGUUGUAGCUCAGUGGUAGAGCACUUGCCUAGCAUGUGUGAGGCACUGGUUUAAUCCUCAGCACCA